UACGGGGGGAGCAAGCGUUGUUCGGAUUUACUGGGCGUAAAGGGCGCGUAGGCGGUCGUGACAAGUCACUUGUGAAAUCUCCGGGCUUAACUCGGAACGGUCAAGUGAUACUGUCGGACUAGAGUACAGAAGGGGCAACUGGAAUUCUCGGUGUAGCGGUGAAAUGCGUAGAUAUCGAGAGGAACACCGGCGGCGAAGGCGGGUUGCUGGGCUGAUACUGACGCUGAGGCGCGAAAGCCAGGGGAGCGAACGGG
rnacentral:rRNA from 1 species